rnacentral:misc_RNA from 1 species
UUCACCCAUGCCGUACCGGCGCCAGAAACACAUGUAUUUCUCAAACCCUGUCUUUUAACAAAGUUGAUGGCGUUCCGAAAAAAAACCCUCCAGCUAAGCAAGAUACCUGAUUAAGCGGUGCCCCGGCACCUGUGGCUCCGGCCAUGGGCAGUUCAGGGCCUCCCGCUGGGCGCACGGUGGAUUGACCUAGGGCCUCCUCCCCUCACGGGAUAGGAGUGGUCCCUGGCUGUUCUCUGCUUAGUGUGCUCGGGUACAACCUCUAUGUUGUGAGUGGCC